UGCUGCCUGCCUCUGUUAUGGAGCGGGGGAGAGGGCGGCAGGCAGCAACCCAACGGCCAACGGCAGGACUGGCGAAGAAUUCCUUCAUCGCCUUACGCGUCAACGGCCGUUCGACCGUUCAAAGUUUAAUCAAUUAGUAAUGGACAACGGACGCCGCAACUCGAGAGGACAGUGGACAAAGUCAAGGAUAAGGACAAACGGGCGUCCCGUGGUUCGAACGGAUUGCCUGGAUCCUGCGAUCAAUUGGUUGUUAAAUAACCAUGAUGAUGAGGGGCAGCAACCUGUUGCGGUAGGUGGACCCUUAGGAAUUGGGCUUGGCCUUCAGGAAGCUGACCAAAUCGCUCGAGACCAGACGCAAAGAAGACCUCAACCCUCACCCCUUAUCAAAGACUAAUUGUUAGCUGCAAGAAGUGAAGUGAGUGCGACGCAGGUGUGAGUUUCAAUUAUAAGAGCGUCCAUCGUAUUUGGGAAAUAUUCGGUUUCCUGGGAAUUCCCAGGAAAUUAAUUUAAUCAAUGCCAUUGGUAGAACUUGACAUAAAGAAUUUAAGGUGGUAUUAGGAGAAUAAUUUAAGCCUGGGUGAACAUAACUAUGUGUAUGUUUAUUUUUAUAUGUAUGGUUUUAAUUAAUUUUUUAGGUUUAUUACCCUAUAUUUUCACAAGUAUGAGUCUUUUAAGUUUACCUGGAGUCUAUCUUUACCUGUAUGAUAAGCUUUAAUAUUUUAUGGCUGAAUUAAUAAUACUCAACACAUAUUCCCCCAUUUCAUGCCUCAGGGCACUCCAGGAGUGCUAAUACCAUUUAUGGUUUUGUAUUGAAAAAAUUAGUAAAAUGUAAUUCAACCACAAACAUUAGCUGUUGAAUUUUCUGCUUAUAUAAUUAUAGGACAUUUAUUGAUAAUUUUAAUGGGUAAUACAGGUAGUGGCCUUAGAAGUUUCAUAGUAUCUCUUUUGAUUUUGGGUCAAAUUGGUUAAUUAAUUCCCUGCUGGAAAUUUGGAUCCCGAGCUGAAGUAUAAGCGGUUAUAUGAGAAUCGGGCCAGGCUCAGGUAUUAUUUUCGGGACAGGCAUCCCGAUGAGCAGCUCCAGGGCUGAAGCAAAGCCGCUGUGGAUAUAAGGGAUAUAAACAAUCAUAAACAUAUCCGACAUAUCCAUGAAAAUAUGCGGAUUCGAUCUCCAAAUUUUGGAUGUCUAUUUAAGGGGUUUUUUGGCAUCAAAAUUUGAAGGAGAAACUUAUGUUUGCUUAAAAGUGCUUGUAAAAUAGAUCGAGAAAUGCCAGGUUUGAAACUCGGGAAUGGGGGACGCGGUCUAAGAGCUACAGUCCACCUUUCAUUCACAGAUAACUCGAUUUUCGGGGAUUUUAGAAAUAACGAAUAAAUAGGGAUUCUCGAGCUUCAAACCUGGAAUUUCACCAUCUUUUUAAACAAUCAGUUUUUUCCAAUUUAUUAAGCAACUAUAAGUGUCAAGAAAAAUUCCCCGGCCAAUAAAUAAACAAUCAAAAUUUUCUUGAUUCCCUCCCCUGGUGCAUGUUAUCAAAUUUAGCCAUCUGCAGGCAGUUUCAAUCGAAUUUUGAAAUUUGGAGGGCGAUAGUGCAUUGGACGGGAUUUUCGGCGUGGAAAUUUUUUCUUGCCACUUAUAGUUGCUUAAUUAAUUGGAAAAAACCAGAUUGAUUUUAAAGAUGGUGAAAUUUCAGGUUUGAUGCUCGGGAAUCCCUAUUUAUUCGUUAUUUAAAAAUCCCCGAAGAUCGAGCUAUCUCUGAAUGAAAGGUGGACUGUAACUCUAAGACUGCGUCCCCCAUUCCUGAGUUUCAAACCUGGAAUUUCUCGAUCCAUUUUAUAAGUACUUUUAAGCAAACAUAAGUGUCUCCUUAAAAUUUCGAUGCCAAAAUAUCCCGUCCAAUCGACUUUAAAAAUUUGAAGCUCGAAUUCGCCUGGAACUGCUCAUCGGGAUUCCUGUCCCGAAAAAAAUCCCCGAUCCUAGCCCGAUUCUCAUAUAACUGCUUAAUAUUUCUGCUCAGGAUCCAAAUUUCCUGGAAAUUCCCGGAUAACCAAAAAUUUCUCGAUCCCAAUGGACGCUCUAAUAAGUGUCAUAUACAGUAGAAUGUUACCCCUGGCGCCAGUAUAUUGCCGGCGUCGAAUUCUUUGGACUGAUGAAUUUAAAAGAUGAUAUGCGAUGCCACAUGAUAACUUAAUAUAUAAAUAAUAUUUAUGUAAGGCUGUGGUAUGAACCUGCUGAUGGGUCUUUGAAAAAAGUAAGAAAUAAAAAUGAUGAAAUAUCAGUAAUACUAA